UCAAAGAAGGGAGAUUCUAACUCCCACCCCUAGCUCCCAAAGCUAGGAUUCUAAAUUAAACUAUUCUUUG
rnacentral:tRNA from 1 species